GUAGAAACACCAUGUCUUGUUCAUGUGCCAAAUCAGCAUUGCAAUGCGCUGACUCAUGUGUGGCAUCCGUCCAUGUUGAUUAAUGGAACCUUUGAUAAUCAGUACUAGAUGCAUGCAUCACCUAUGAUAAUUAAUAUAUGUCUGAUACAAUAUUUUCCUAUGUGUUGUAUUUAAUUUGUAAAGUCAAUGUGUGUAGCACAAUGAAACGGAAGAGGUUUAAGUGGUCCAUCAACAAUGGUCCCAAGGCAAUGGCGAUGGAAGGGGCUCAAAACUCAUCAAGUUUUAAGUAUAUAUAUGCAUUCAAAAAAAA
rnacentral:lncRNA from 1 species